UACGUAGGGUGCAAGCGUUGUCCGGAAUUAUUGGGCGUAAAGAGCUCGUAGGCGGUCUGUCGCGUCGGCUGUGAAAACUCGGGGCUCAACCCCGAGCCUGCGGUCGAUACGGGCAGGCUGGAGUUCGGUAGGGGAGACUGGAAUUCCUGGUGUAGCGGUGGAAUGCGCAGAUAUCAGGAGGAACACCGGUGGCGAAGGCGGGUCUCUGGGCAGUAACUGACGCUGAGGAGCGAAAGCGUGGGGAGCGAACAGG
rnacentral:rRNA from 1 species